UACGUAGGGGACAAGCGUUGUCCGGAAUCAUUGGGCGUAAAGAGCGUGUAGGCGGCCAGAUAAGUCCGCUGUGAAAACUCGAGGCUCAACUUCGAGCUGUCGGCGGAAACUAUCUGGCUAGAGUCCGGAAGAGGAGAGUGGAAUUCCUGGUGUAGCGGUGAAAUGCGCAGAUAUCAGGAAGAACACCCGUGGCGAAGGCGGCUCUCUGGGACGGUACUGACGCUGAGACGCGAAAGCGUGGGGAGCGAACAGG
rnacentral:rRNA from 1 species